GUUUUAUUCUAAACCCGGUAUUAGGCAAAAAUUGAGCAACUUGGAGUUUGAGUUUACUUAUAUCAAUUUUGACACUUGAAACACGUCUGGAAUGUCUUGAAAUACUAGGAUCGACUAUAAUAUUGGCCAUGUUUCAGGACAGGUCGCCGAUCAAUCGAAUCUGGCAAAAAACUUUGUCCUGGGAGUCGGUGAGUUAUCAUUGAUCCGAUUGUACCAAAUGAUCUGGACCGUUCGAUGAUUGCCUUUUUCAAACAGUGCUCAAUCGGAGCGGGGCUAGUCCCAUCUCAAAGAUUUCAUUGCCCUGAGUCUAACGGUGGUCUUGGAUCAUUGAUACAACGGUCAGAUCAUCCUAGAUCUGACCGAAAAGCUAAAAAAACUCAAAG
rnacentral:misc_RNA from 1 species